rnacentral:lncRNA from 1 species
AAGAAUCAAGAAUCCCAAAGGACUGAGGAGAAAUUUGAUUGAAUCGUUCUUAGCCUUUGCAUUCAAGUUUUGGUGGUCGGGACAAUCGGAGGUAGCCACUAGCCCAGGGGCUAAGAGACUGUCGCGCACGACGGCACGAGGAGGCCUCGGCAAGAAAUCGCCGCCUUGCCGCAGAUAUGCACCGAACCGAACGUACGAAACAGCGGGCUACGGCUAGGUUAUAACAGUUGAUGCUAG